rnacentral:lncRNA from 1 species
UGAUAAACAGGGAAGACUUUGCGCCAAACAGAAAUUCACGUGUGUGUUCUGCGCAUUUCGUGGAUGGAAAACGCACGGAGCAAAACCCUCUACCGAUGCUGAACUUGGGUUACGAGCGAAAGGUUAUCUUUGGGCGCAGACGCCUGAACCGAGACGAAAACACGCCACCACCAAUUAAGCGGAAGGCAAGUGUACAGAUUGUUAUGACAUUGUGUGGCUCAUAAUGAUUUAUUUCCAUUCCAGAGAAAAACGAACAAAGACACACAAGAUGAAGCGCCAGAAGCGUCACGCCAGGUUCCUUCACAGAGUGUCACUUCUGACGCACAAGCUUCCACGUUGACCUCGGUUUUAGACAGUUUGGAAGAUGUGAGUAGGCAUUCACCUGUCUUGACAUACUAUCACUGAGAAUAUAUACUCACUUUUUGCGUGUCCUGCCCAUACCAGGUGGAAGAUACCAUUCUAGACAGCCCUAGUGCGUGCCAGGAA